rnacentral:rRNA from 2 species
CCUGAUCCAGCAAUGCCGCGUGUGUGAAGAAGGCCUUCGGGUUGUAAAGCACUUUUGUCCGGAAAGAAAUCCUUGGCUCUAAUACAGUCGGGGGAUGACGGUACCGGAAGAAUAAGCACCGGCUAACUACGUGCCAGCAGCCGCGGUAAUACGUAGGGUGCGAGCGUUAAUCGGAAUUACUGGGCGUAAAGCGUGCGCAGGCGGUUUGCUAAGACCGAUGUGAAAUCCCCGGGCUCAACCUGGGAACUGCAUUGGUGACUGGCAGGCUAGAGUAUGGCAGAGGGGGGUAGAAUUCCACGUGUAGCAGUGAAAUGCGUAGAGAUGUGGAGGAAUACCGAUGGCGAAGGCAGCCCCCUGGGCCAAUACUGACGCUCAUGCACGAAAGCGUGGGGAGCAAACAGGAUUAGAUACCCUGGUAGUCCACGCCCUAAACGAUGUCAACUAGUUGUUGGGGAUUCAUUUCCUUAGUAACGUAGCUAACGCGUGAAGUUGACCGCCUGGGGAGUACGGUCGCAAGAUUAAAACUCAAAGGAAUUGACGGGGACCCGCACAAGCGGUGGAUGAUGUGGAUUAAUUCGAUGCAACGCGAAAAACCUUACCUACCCUUGACAUGGUCGGAAUCCUGCUGA